GUUAUGAAUUUAAGUUCCCAGGCUUGUCUUUUGAAAGUUUUGUGCCGGUUUCCUUUGAGGAUGAGAACUGAUAAGUCAGAUAUAGAGUGAUCGCUUUGUGAAAAGUGUUCGCCCACAGAUGAUAGGGUAUUUUGGUCUUUUAUCUUUGUCUUUGUCUUUCCUGUGUGAAUUCAUUCAUUCAUUACUUGAGACCAACGGAUCACCAAUAACGAGAUCCUUCAGAGAACUGGUCUAUAGUCUAUGCGGACUACACAGGACGUUUGCAGGCUUCACUGGUUGGGACAUGAGCGCAUGCCUCAAGAUCGUCUGCCAAAGGCAGUGCUCUAUGGCCAACUUAAAAACCGCUGACAAUUGGGAAAAUCCUGCCCACAAUCGCUCAGUUUGGAGAAGCCAGGUUAAGGCUGGUGCAGUCACCAUGGAGAGCCAUCAGAGAGCCCAGUCUGAGGCCCACAGCUCACCACAGCCACCUUGGAUGGCAAACUCCAGUUGUUUCUAUCUUGAUGCUUGCCAGCCUGUGGAAUGCUGGCCCUGGUGCUCUGGAAAUAACAGCUUGCUGAGAGAAAGGAGACUGGUAACUGUGCAAGCCGCAAAAUAUUCCUUUUUAAAUUACAGUUGUAGAAAUAAUGUCACUUACAUUGGAAAAAUAAGGACAAGAUACAGUAUGGUACAAUUGUACUCAUUCAGGCCUCAGUACAGCAAAGGCUCAAGGAUUGAUGUCAAUGGGGCACUCACAUGCUUAAAGGUAGGCAUGUGCUGCAGUGCUUGGCUGUAUUGGAGUUUCUUACCUGUAGAUUGGUGACACAGUUAAAAUAGAAAGUGGUCCAGUUUUAAAGCGAAAAUUUCUGCCUAUAACUAAAGACUUGAAAUGAGUUCAAGUUCCUCAUUCUUCAUGAAAUGACAUUAGGAGUCAUGUUGGUCCCUUGUUUAUAUCUAUGCAACUCCCAUGAGGUUAAUGGAAGUAACUUGAGUAUAGCAGAAUUUGGUCCUCAUUACUGAGACAAUCUGAUUCAUAUCCAUUUUAUUGCAUUCUGUUAUCUCUUGUACACCAUUCUGUUAAGUUGUUAGGGAUGGGGAAAAGACUUUUAUUUUAAAGGCCUUGUCUUCACAAAGCUAACUUGACAUUUUAGUUUGGUAAUUUACUUAUGUUUAGUUUUACUGUGACAGUAGGGGUGUGCCCCAUUUCUAGAAAU
rnacentral:lncRNA from 1 species